rnacentral:lncRNA from 1 species
GAUUCAGUGGUCUUUGAGGAUGUAGAUGUGAACUUCACCCAGGAGGAGUGGGCUUUGCUGGAUCCUUCCCAGAAGAAUCUCUACAGAGAUGUGAUGCAGGAAACCUUCAGGAACCUGGCUUCUGUAGGAAAAAAAUGGAAAGAUCAGAAAAUUGAAGAUGAGUACAAAAAUCCCAGGAGAAACCUAAGUCUUAGAAAGUGGAGUUGGUCGCUGUACGCAAGACAGACAUUGGGGCUGGACUCACCAUCAGUGGCCCCGAAAAGAACUCAUGGGCAGAUGAACCCAUCCACAAACUCCCCUGCCACAUCCAGAUGAUGCUUAGUGAAAAGAAACACCUUGUUCCAAAAGCAGAAAAGGAGGAUGCACGGAAGAAAAAGAUACCCCAGAAGAAACAUAAACUUAAGAGACAAACAAAUUCAGCCAAAAGAAAAUGCAAAUAAAAGUUCAAAACAAAACAAAACAAAAAAACCUCUAAAAUUCAUAAAACACAAAAUGACAAACUCUAUUAAAUAUGCCCCUAUGAUAUCUCUUAGAUAAAAGUUGGCCGUAAUAGAGAAAAUGAAGAUAGGUGUUGGUGACUGGCAGAUUCUGGGUCUACGAUGAAUCAGAGAAGGAUGGUUUUCACUUUGUUUUACAUUUUUUUAAUGCUUGAUGUUGACUUGGUAGAAAGAUGAUAAUAAAGAGAUUCUUCUGUC